CAGGUUUUGAGUUCAAGUUAUAAGUUUUGCGGUAAACAUUCAAUUGAAAUGCAAGCUGAAACCCUAGCAUCUUUUGCACACUCAGCAGGCCAAACUAGUGUUGUCGCCAUUUCUUCUGCAAGGACUUGUAUUCUAAGGUCUGCUGAAUCUGGCCAAUCGUAUUCUAAGGUCCAUGAUAAAGCUACACAGGAAGUGAGCUCUUAGAUCAUCAAGACUGGUGCUUCUCCAAUGGUUCUCAUGGGAGAGCCGCCUCCAUUGUGUCCUGAAAGUUUAUUCCCUUCAACUAGUAGGAGCAGCGCUGGUAUGCGUUACAUGGAAAAGAAGAAGACACUCAAGUAAGAGUAGAGCAGUUUUUUUUUUUUUUUUUUACACAUCAUUUAGGUUAAAAAAAGAAAAGAAUAUUGUGUGGACCUAGGAAGCAUGGAUGUGUAUUUAAUUCACUUUCAAUUCUUUUUGAUUGUUUAGUUCUUUUGUUUAAUGGAAAGUAUAUUUUCAGGGU